CCUACGGGAGACAGCAGUAGGGAAUCUUCCACAAUGGACGAAAGUCUGAUGGAGCAACUCCGCGUGAGUGAAGAAGGGUUUCGGCUCGUAAAGCUCUGUUGUUAGUGAAGAAAGAUAGAGGUAGUAACUAGCCUUUAUUUGACGGUAAUUUAUUAAAAAGUAACGGCUAACUACGUGCCAGCAGCCGCGGUAAUACGUAGGUGGCAAGCGUUGUCCGGAUUUAUUGGGCGUAAAGCGAGUGCAGGCGGCUCAAUAAGUCUGAUGUGAAAGCCUUGGGCUCAACCGGAGAAUUGCAUCAGAAACGGUUGAACUUGAGUGCAUAAGAGGAGAGUGGAACUCCAUGUGUAGCGGUGGAAUGCGUAGAUAUAUGGAAGAACACCAGUGGCGAAGGCGGCUCUCUGGUCUGCAACUGACGCUGAGGCUCGAAAGCAUGGGUAGCGAACAGGAUUAGAUACCCGGGUAGUC
rnacentral:rRNA from 1 species